rnacentral:rRNA from 1 species
AUUGAACGCUGGCGGCAGGCCUAACACAUGCAAGUCGAGCGAGCGGCGGACGGGUGAGGAAUGUCUGGGAACCUGCCUGAUGGAGGGGGAUAACUACUGGAAAAGGUAGCUAAUCCCGCAUACCAUCAGAUUUGCCCAGAUGGGGUUAGCUAGUGGGUGGGGUAACGGCUCACCUAGGCGACGAUCCCUAGCUGGUCUGAGAGGAUGACCAGCCACACUGGAACUGAGACACGGUCCAGACUCCUACGGGAGGCAGCAGUGGGGAAUAUUGGACAAUGGGCGCAAGCCUGACGCAGCCAUGCCGCGUGUGUGAAGAAGGCCUUCGGGUUGUAAAGCACUUUCAGCGGGGAGGCGGUACCCGAAGAAGAAGCACCGGCUAACUCCGUGCCAGCAGCCGCGGUAAUUC